UACGAAGGGAGCUAGCGUUGUUCGGAAUCACUGGGCGUAAAGGGCGUGUAGGCGGUCAAGUAAGUGGAAUGUGAAACGCCUCGGCUUACCCGAGGACCUGCAUCCCAAACUGCUUGGCUUGAGUAUGGGAGAGGAUGAGGGAAUUCCUGGUGUAGCGGUGAAAUGCGUAGAUAUCAGGAGGAACACCGGUGGCGAAAGCGCUCAUCUGGCCCAAUACUGACGCUGAGGUGCGAAAGCGUGGGGAGCAAACAGG
rnacentral:rRNA from 1 species